rnacentral:rRNA from 1 species
UACAUGGGGUGCAAACGUUGCUCGGAAUCAUUGGGCGUAAAGCGCGCGUAGGCGGUUAUUUAAGUUGGAUGUGAAAGCCCUCGGCUUAACUGAGGAAGUGCAUCCAAAACUGAAUAGCUAGAGUACGAAAGAGGGUCGCGGAAUUCCCGGUGUAGAGGUGAAAUUCGUAGAUAUCGGGAGGAACACCGGUGGCGAAGGCGGCGACCUGGGUCGAGACUGACGCUGAGGCACGAAGGUCAGGGGAGCAAACGGG